GAUGAACGCUGGCGGCGUGCCUAAUACAUGCAAGUCGAGCGAACGGACGAGAAGCUUGCUUCUCUGAUGUUAGCGGCGGCCAGGUGAGUAACAAGUGGAUAACCUACCUAUAAGACUGGGAUAACUUCGGGAAACCGUAGCUAAUACCGGAUAAUAUUUUGAACCGCAUGGUUCAAAAGUGAAAGACGGUCUUGCUGUCACUUAUAGAUGGAUCCGCGCUGCAUUAGCUAGUUGGUAAGGUAACGGCUUACCAAGGCAACGAUGCAUAGCCGACCUGAGAGGGUGAUCGGCCACACUGGAACUGAGACACGGUCCAGACUCCUACGGGAGGCAGCAGUAGGGAAUCUUCCGCCAUGGGCGAAAGCCUGACGGAGCAACGCCGCGUGAGUGAUGAAGGUCUUCGGAUCGUAAAACUCUGUUAUUAGGGAAGAACAUAUGUGUAAGUAACUGUGCACAUCUUGACGGUACCUAAUCAGAAAGCCACGGCUAACUACGUG
rnacentral:rRNA from 1 species